UGAAUACGAGACGCUACGGCGUCGAAGCAGUCUAUGUCAUACUUCCAAGAAAAGCUCGCAAUGUCAUAAACAAAUAAUGCCUGUACCAUAACCGACACAGGUGGGUAGGUAGAGUAUACUAAGGGGCGCGAGAUAACUCUCUCUAAGGAACUCGGCAAAAUGACUCCGUAACUUCGGGAGAAGGAGUGCCUUAUUUAUAAGGUUGCAAUAACAAGAUCCAAGCAACUGUUUAUCAAAAACACAGGUCUCCGCUAAGUCGUAAGACGAUGUAUGGGGGCUGACGCCUGCCCAGUGCCAGAAGGUUAAAGAAGUUGGUUAGCAUUCGCGAGGCUGAUAACUGAAGCCCUGGUGAACGGCGGCCGUAACGAUAACGGUCCUAAGGUAGCGAAAUUCCUUGUCGGGUAAGUUCCGACCCGCACGAAAGGCGUAAUGAUUUGGAUACUGUCUCGGAGAGGGGCUCGGUGAAAUAGACUUGUCUGUGAAGAUGCGGACUACCUGCACCUGGACAGAAAGACCCUAUGAAGCUUUACUGUAACUUGAAAUUGAAAUUGGACUUUAUUUGCGCAGCAUAGGUGGGAGGCGUUGAGAGUAUUCUUGCGGGAAUAUUGGAGCCAUCAGUGAGAUACCACUCUUGUAAUGUUAGAUUUCUAACUUUGUAUCAUUAUCUGGUCAAAGAACAGUUUCAGGCGGGCAGUUUGACUGGGGCGGUCGCCUCCCAAACGGUAACGGAGGCGUACAAAGGUUUCCUCUGAACGGGUAGAAAUCGUAUCUAGAGUGUAAAGGCAUAAGGAAGCUUGACUGUGAGACCUACAAGUCGAGCAGGGACGAAAGUCGGUCUUAGUGAUCUGACGGUGCUGAGUGGAAAGGCCGUCACUCAACGGAUAAAAGUUACUCUAAGGAUAACAGGCUGAUCUCCCCCAAGAGUUCACAUCGACGGGGAGGUUUGGCACCUCGAUGUCGGCUCAUCGCAUCCUGGGGCGGUAGUACGUCCCAAGGGUUGGGCUGUUCGCCCAUGAAAGCGGUACGCGAGCUGGGUUCAGAACGUCGUGUGACAGUUCGGUCCAUAUCCGGUGUAGGCGUUAGAAUAUUGAGAGGAGCCUUCUUUAGUACGAGAGGACCGAGAAGGACAUACCUCUGGUGUACCAGUUAUCGUGCCAACGGUAAACGCUGGGUAGCUAUGUAUGGAGAGGAUAACCGCUGAAAGCAUCUAAGUGGGAAGCCCACCUCAAGAUAAGUAUUCUCAU
rnacentral:rRNA from 1 species